rnacentral:miRNA from 1 species
UUCAACAAGGGUGUAGGAUGG